AUAGCUUUAUUUCUAUCAGGUUCUGAGAUUCCAGCAUUGAAACCAGGAUUUUGAGUUCAGAUGAACCAGAAUAAACGUUAAUCAGAAUUUCUGAUCUUUAUGAUAAAAUUGGCUGCCACAUUUUUUGCCUGAUAGAUUUUCUGAAUUGUCUCCAAAGACAAUAUUGUUAAUAGUGCUCUGUAAUCAUACAACCUCUCUGCUAACAGAACAGACUAUCAAAGUUGGGGUUAUCCCUAUCCAUAUAGGAAGACUGCUGGGACACAGCCAAAGUUGGCAGAAGGCACUUAAUGUAACUGAAAUAAGGUGAAUCUCAAAUGAAAGAAAUAAGAGAUAGAAGCGUUCCUAAUCUUGAACCAUUGAACUCUCUCAUUCAGAGAAGGGCAAGCCCAUACAGAAGAGGAUGAAUACCAUAUGAUCAGAAGAACCAUCUACCUCUAAUAGUUCAGCCUUGCUAGGAAAGGAAGCUGUCUUCGGUUCCACUCAGAGAAAGACAGCAUACAAAUGCAAUGUGCUUUGGAAGUCUUCUGUGCUCACUAUGUUAGACGAUUUACUUGUCCUGGGCAGGUGAGAACUCGAAUAAAGAUACGGAGCUAAGGAAGGAGAGGUGGGGGUUGUGGGUUUGUCUUGUUGCGCUGAACACCUCAAUCGAUGACCCAGAGACUACAAGGUAAGCAUAGGAAGCAAAAAGGUUAGUAAGAAUGGGAUUGUCAUAAGUUUACAGGUCACUUGAAGGUACA